GAGCCCCAACCAGCUGUGGGUGUUGGGGUCACACACAUCACCCUGUUCCUGAACCAGAAAACGCACAGCUUGUCCAGAUUCCAGACAUCGAGUGGGAGGAAAGUGGCCUCUCUUGCCAGAACCAUUCGACCAUUGUCGUUCCUAACACUGACUGUCCGUUGACUGAGGAACAAAUGGCAGGCUUACAGGAAGUGGUUAAUCCAAGAGCUGCAUCCCAGUCCUUUGGCUCCGACAUCUACAUUGCAGCUGUUCAGUUUUGUGAGCAGUUCUUAUAGAGCUACAUAAACCCAACUGCAAAUGUUAAUGUAAUGUGAAUUUAUGUUGCCAAAAAGUUUGCUUGCAAUGUUGGGAUUACAGAACUGAAAAUUUGCAAGUUUACAUCUAAAAUUUUAAUGUAAAAGUAAAACUGAAGGUGGGAACAUGUUUAUAAUUAAAUAAAUGAACAAAGUAA